rnacentral:rRNA from 1 species
CCCUACGGGAGGCAGCAGUAGGGAAUAUUGGGCAAUGGAGGCAACUCUGACCCAGCCAUGCCGCGUGCAGGAAGACGGUCCUCUGGAUUGUAAACUGCUUUUGAAUGGGAAGAAUGUGCUCCUUGCGAGGGGUAAUGACGGUACCAUUAGAAUAAGCCACGGCUAACUACGUGCCAGCAGCCGCGGUAAUACGUAGGUGGCGAGCGUUAUCCGGAUUUAUUGGGUUUAAAGGGUGCGUAGGCGGCUUAAUAAGUCGGUGGUUAAAAGUAGCAGCUUAACUGUUUUACAUGCCAUCGAUACUGUUGAGCUUGAGAUAUUUGGAGGCAGCUAGAAUUUCCGGUGUAGCGGUGAAAUGCUUAGAUACCGGAAGGAAUACCAAUUGCGAAGGCAGGUUGCUACGAAUAAACUGACGCUGAUGCACGAAAGCGUGGGGAUCAAACAGGAUUAGAUACCCUUGUAGUCU